GAUGAAGAACGCAGCGAGACGCGAUAAGUAAUGUGAAUUGCAGAAUCCAGUGAAUCAUCGAAUCUUUGAACGCACAUUGCGCCCGCCAGCAUUCUGGCGGGCAUGCCUGUUCGAGCGUCAUUUCAACCCUCGACCUCCCCUUGGGGAGGUCGGCGUUGGGGACCGGCAGCACACCGCCGGCCCUGAAAUGGAGUGGCGGCCCGUCCGCGGCGACCUCUGCGCAGUAAUACAGCUCGCACCGGGACCCCGACGCGGCCACGCCGUAAAACACCCAACUUCUGAACGUUGACCUCGAAUCAGGUAGGACUACCCGCUGAACUUAAGCAUAUCAAUAAGCGGAGGA
rnacentral:misc_RNA from 1 species